CCCCUACCAUUUAGCAAGCACCACUAGCCGGGACGGCAGAGGGGUCACAGGACUGUCACCUUGCGACCUGGCAGGUGCAGAUCAGCAAUUGGGUGCGAGGCCAGAAUGGCGGAGAAAUGGUCUCACAGUGAAUGUAGGCUGUUAUAGCGUUCUGGAUACCGGGUCUCUAGAUAAAAGAUCCCAAACCUCCGGAUGAUGAUCCACGUUCCAUUCCUGAUACUUUAGGAACAGUUCCAUCAGUGUGUGGGUCCUGCUGCAGCCCACGGAGUGAUGUUUCCAGGCAGCACUCCGGAGAAUACUGGAGUAUGAGAGGCCAGGCUCUGCCUUCCCCGAACAAACAUUCAUGUAAACAAUACAAAGUGGGGGAAAAAGAAAAUUGGAAUCGAAUUAAGAAACGUAAAGAAAUAUAGCAUAUAAAAUGACAGCAGACAAUCUAAAAAUAAAAA